rnacentral:rRNA from 1 species
GGCUACCAUGCAGUCGAGGGGCAGCAUUUCAGUUUGCUUGCAAACUGGAGAUGGCGACCGGCGCACGGGUGAGUAACACGUAUCCAACCUGCCGAUAACUCGGGGAUAGCCUUUCGAAAGAAAGAUUAAUACCCGAUGGNAUAAUCAGACCGCAUGGUCUUAUUAUUAAAGAAUUUCGGUUAUCGAUGGGGAUGCGUUCCAUUAGGCAGUUGGUGAGGUAACGGCUCACCAAACCUUCGAUGGAUAGGGGUUCUGAGAGGAAGGUCCCCCACAUUGGAACUGAGACACGGUCCAAACUCCUACGGGAGGCAGCAGUGAGGAAUAUUGGUCAAUGGGCGCAGGCCUGAACCAGCCAAGUAGCGUGAAGGAUGACUGCCCUAUGGGUUGUAAACUUCUUUUAUAUGGGAAUAAAGUUUUCCACGUGUGGAAUUUUGUAUGUACCAUAUGAAUAAGGAUCGGCUAACUCCGUGCCAGCAGCCGCGGUAAUACGGAGGAUCCGAGCGUUAUCCGGAUUUAUUGGGUUUAAAGGGAGCGUAGGUGGACAGUUAAGUCAGUUGUGAAAGUUUGCGGCUCAACCGUAAAAUUGCAGUUGAUACUGGCUGUCUUGAGUACAGUAGAGGUGGGCGGAAUUCGUGGUGUAGCGGUGAAAUGCUUAGAUAUCACGAAGAACUCCGAUUGCGAAGGCAGCUCACUGGACUGCAACUGACACUGAUGCUCGAAAGUGUGGGUAUCAAACAGGAUUAGAUACCCUGGUAGUCCACACAGUAAACGAUGAAUACUCGCUGUUUGCGAUAUACAGUAAGCGGCCAAGCGAAAGCAUUAAGUAUUCCACCUGGGGAGUACGCCGGCAACGGUGAAACUCAAAGGAAUUGACGGGGGCCCGCACAAGCGGAGGAACAUGUGGUUUAAUUCGAUGAUACGCGAGGAACCUUACCCGGGCUUAAAUUGCAUUUGAAUANUUUGGAAACAGNUUAGCCGCAAGGCAAAUGUGAAGGUGCUGCAUGGUUGUCGUCAGCUCGUGCCGUGAGGUGUCGGCUUAAGUGCCAUAACGAGCGCAACCCUUAUCUUUAGUUACUAACAGGUCAUGCUGAGGACUCUAGAGAGACUGCCGUCGUAAGAUGUGAGGAAGGUGGGGAUGACGUCAAAUCAGCACGGCCCUUACGUCCGGGGCUACACACGUGUUACAAUGGGGGGUACAGAAGGCAGCUACCUGGUGACAGGAUGCUAAUCCCAAAAGCCUCUCUCAGUUCGGAUCGAAGUCUGCAACCCGACUUCGUGAAGCUGGAUUCGCUAGUAAUCGCGCAUCAGCCAUGGCGCGGUGAAUACGUUCCCGGGCCUUGUACACACCGCCCGUCAAGCCAUGAAAGCCGGGGGUACCUGAAGUACGAACCGCAAGGAGCUCCUAGGAAAC